CCCAAUUUCAACAAGUAUUUCUCCACACUUCUAAACACUUUUCAUGCAUCUACAGCACUUUUAAUAAAUCUUAUUUAUUGUAUUCUAACAUAUUCUAACCCUAAACAACGCUAGCUAAGCCAUUUACUGCUCCAAAGACAUGUUUACGGAUUCUUAGCCCAUUUGGUAUCAAAUUUCAAUAAGUCUUUCUACACACUUUUAAACACUCUUCAUGCAUUUCUAGCACUUGUAAUCAAUCAAAUUUAUUGUAUUCUAACAUAUUCUAACCCCAAACAACACUAGAUAAGUCAUUUAGUGGUUCAACGCAAUCUUUCGGAGUUCUUAGCCCAUUUGGGACCCAAUUUCGACAAGUC
rnacentral:lncRNA from 1 species